UACAGAGGUCUCAAGCGUUGUUCGGAUUCAUUGGGCGUAAAGGGUGCGUAGGUGGCGGGGUAAGUCAGGUGUGAAAUUUCGGAGCUUAACUCCGAAACUGCAUUUGAUACUGCCUUGCUUGAGGACUGGAGAGGAGACUGGAAUUUACGGUGUAGCAGUGAAAUGCGUAGAUAUCGUAAGGAAGACCAGUGGCGAAGGCGGGGUCUCUGGACAGUUCCUGACACUGAGGCACGAAGGCUAGGGGAGCAAACGGG
rnacentral:rRNA from 1 species